ACCUGGCUGGCUCAUUCGGUAGAGUACACGACUCUUGAUCUCGGGACUGUGAGUUCAAGCCCCAUGUUGGGUG
rnacentral:tRNA from 1 species